rnacentral:rRNA from 1 species
UACGGAGGGUGCGAGCGUUGUCCGGAAUCAUUGGGCGUAAAGAGCGCGUAGGCGGCCCAGUAAGUCCGCUCUGAAAGUCAGGGGCUCAACCCCUGAAUGCGGGUGGAUACUGCUGGGCUAGAGUCCGGAAGAGGCGAGUGGAAUUCCUGGUGUAGCGGUGAAAUGCGCAGAUAUCAGGAGGAACACCGAUGGCGAAGGCAGCUCGCUGGGACGGUACUGACGCUGAGGCGCGAAAGCGUGGGUAGCAAACAGG